rnacentral:rRNA from 1 species
GAGUUUGAUCGUGGCUCAGAUUGAACGCUGGCGGCAUGCCUUACACAUGCAAGUCGAACGGCAGCAUGAUCUAGCUUGCUAGAUUGAUGGCGAGUGGCGAACGGGUGAGUAAUACGUCGGGAACGUGCCCUGUAGUGGGGGAUAACUAGUCGAAAGAUUAGCUAAUACCGCAUACGACCUGAGGGUGAAAGUGGGGGACCGCAGGGCCUCAUGCUAUAGGAGCGGCCGAUGUCUGAUUAGCUAGUUGGUGGGGUAAAGGCCCACCAAGGCGACGAUCAGUAGCUGGUCUGAGAGGACGAUCAGCCACACUGGGACUGAGACACGGCCCAGACUCCUACGGGAGGCAGCAGUGGGGAAUUUUGGACAAUGGGCGAAAGCCUGAUCCAGCAAUGCCGCGUGUGUG